GAUUAUAAUUUAAGGUCUGGCCUGCCCACUGAGUAUUUGAAUGGCCGUGGUAUUUUGACCGUGCUAAGGUAGCAUAAUCAUUAGUUUUUUAAUUAAAAACUGGAAUGAAGGGUUAGAUAAGAAAAUAACUGUCUCUAUUUAAAUUUAUUAGAAUUUUAUUUUUAAGUUAAAAAGCUUAAUUAUUGUUAAAAGACGAGAAGACCCUAUAGAGUUUAAUUAUAGUAUAAAUUUUUUAUUUUAGUAUUUAUUUAUUAAUUUUUUCUAUAAUUUAAUUGGGGUGAUUAAAAAAUUUAGUAAACUUUUUUUGUAUUUUAACAUUAAUUUAUGAAUCAUUGAUCCAGUUAUUUUGAUUAUAAGAUAAAAUUACCUUAGGGAUAACAGCGUAAUUUUUUUAGAAAGUUCAAAUUGAAAAAAAAGAUUGCGACCUCGAUGUUGGAUUAAAGUUAAUUUUUGGUGUAGAAGCUGAAAUAUUAGGUC
rnacentral:rRNA from 1 species